GGACUACUGGGGUAUCUAAUCCUGUUUGAUCCCCGCACUUUCGCAUCUCAGCGUCAAUAUUGGGCCAGAUAGCCGCCUUCGCCACCGGUGUUCCUCCUGAUAUCUACGUAUUUCACCACUACACCAGGAAUUCCACUAUCCUCUCCCAUAUUCAAGCCAAGCAGUAUCGAGUGCACGUCCUGGGUUGAGCCCAGGGAUUUCACACCCGACUUAUUUGGCCGCCUACAUGCGCUUUACGCCCAAUGAUUCCGAACAACGCUAGGACCCCUCGUCUUACCGCGGCUGCUGGCAC
rnacentral:rRNA from 1 species